GACCGUGAUGUAUCUUCUGGCCCAGAAAUCAGGCGAUGUGUUUCUCCUGCCUGAGCUUUGCUCACAGGGAGCAUUGUGACAUAUCACUGAGCCCAGCACCCAGGUGAUGGGACUCUACUGCCUGUCCCCUGCUUUCAGGAGGAAAUUGUAACAUAUCUCUGACCAAGCACCCAGGUGAUAAGUCUUCUGCCUGGUGCCUGUUCUCAGGGAAGAUUGUGACAUAUCCCUGGCCCAGCAACCAGAUGAUGCAGAUGACGUAUCUCUCCUGCUCACUCUCUAUCCACAGGUAAGAUUAUGACAUAUAAUCACGCCCAGCUAAUUUUUGCCUUUUAAUAGAGAAGGGGUUUCGCCAUGUUGGCCAGGCUAGUCUCGAAUUCCUGACCUCAGGUGAUCUGCCCACCUUGGCCUCCCAAAGUGCUCAGAUUACAGGCGUGAGCCAUGGUCGCUGGCCUAGGGAGUGUGACUUUCUUUUUGCUGCCUGUUCUCUACUCAACGGGGUAAUUGUGACAUAUUGCUGGUCCCAGCUCCUAGCUGAUGUGACUGUUUUCUUUUUCCUAGGUUCUGCCCACAAAGGAGAUUGUGGCAUACUGCUGGGCCUAACACUAAGGUGAUGUUACUUCUCUGCUUUGGCUAUGUCCUUAGAAGGCAUUGAGACACACUGCUGGGCCCAGCACCAAGAUGAUGUGAGUCCUCUGCCUGAACCCUGACCACAGGGAGCAUUGUGACAUAUUUCUUGACCCACUGCAAUCUCUCCUAUGGACAAAGCCCAGGUGUUAUGACUCUCGUCUUUUCACUGGAACCUGCCAAAAAGGGUGAUUGUGACAUAUCACUGGACCCAGCACCUUGGUGAUGUGACUCUCCUCUCCUCCUUAGGCCCUGCUUACAUUGUGUCUGUUGAAAUACGGCUGGUCCAACACCUAGGUAAUGUGACUCUCCUGCAUAGGCCUUGCUAAUAGGGGAUGUAUGACAUAUGUUUUGUUUAUCACUUAAGUGAUGUUACUCUCCUUUUCUUCCUGAAUCCUGUAAAAGGUGGGGGAUUGUGACCCUAUCACUGGACCCAGCACAUAAGUAAUAUGAGUUUCCUGCAUAGGCUCUGUUCAGAAGGGUAUUAUGACAUAUCUUUUUGUUCAUCACUUUGUGACUUGUCUUUUGACUGGAACCUGCCAAAAAGGGUGAUUGUGACAUAUUGCUGGACCCAGCACCUAGGUGAUGUGGCUCUCCUUUUUUUCUGGGCCUCACAUAUUUUGGGUAUUGUGAUGUAUAGCUGGGCUCAACACCUAGCAGUUGGGGAGCUCCUUUCUUGACCAUUCCCACAAAUGACAUAUCUCUGCUAUGACCGCCUAUGACACAUGACCUAAAUAUGUGACCCUUCUUUUCUGCCUGUACCCUGCUAACAGAGAAGAUUGUGACAAAUUGCUAAGUGCAUUGUAUCUUGUGCUAACCUUCUAUCUCAGCCUGUGACCAAGAAUGCCUAACUGCCGGGGAAUGCAGCCCUGUAGGUCUCAACCUCAAUUUGCCCAGCCACUAUUCAAAAUAGAGUCACUCUGGUUUAAAUGCCUCUGACAUUAAGAUACACUGUAAAAUUAUGAAAAAAGUUGAUUUGAAUUUUAGCAAAUGAGAAAUGAAAUAAUUAGAAUGGGCUAUUCUGAAAGAUAUAGCAUUAGUUAUAUUUGUGUUUGAGUUUUCUAUUAACCUAUAUUUGUUACUUAUGAAUAGAUACCUUGUUUUAUUCUGUCUAAACAGAUACACUAGGUGGGGUGCGGUGGCCAUGCCUGUAAUCCCAGCACUUUGGGAGGCCGAGGGGAGUGGAUCACCUGAGGUCAGGAAUUUGGGACAAGCCUGACCAACAUGGCAAAACCCUGUCUCUACUAAAAAUACAAAAAUCAGCUGACCAUGGUGGCGGGUGCCUGUAAUCCCAGCUACUUCAGAGGCUGAGGCAGGAGAAUUGCUUGAACCCGAGAGGUGGAGGUUGCAGUGAGCCAAGAUCAUGCCACUGCAUUCCACCCUGGGUGACAGAGCGAGACUCUGUCUCAAAAAAUAAGAAAAAAUAAGCGGCCGGGCAUGCUGGCUCACGCCUGUAAUCCCAACACUUUGGGAGGCCGAGGAGGGUGGAUCGCAAGGUCAGGAGUUCAAGACCAGCCUGGCCAAGAUGGUGAAACCCUGUCUCUACUAAAAAUACAAAAAUUAGCCACGUGUGUUGGCAGGUGCCUGUAAUCCCAGCUACUCGGGAGGCUGAGGCAGAGAAUUGCUUGAACCCAGGAGGCAGAGUUUGCAGUGAGCCGAGAUCUCACCAUUGCACUCCAGCCUGGGUGACAGAGGGAGAUUCUGUCUCAAAAAAAAAAAAAGGACAUAAAUUUAAUGUUAAGUGUGGACUCAUAAAGAAUCUAGACAGCCACCAAGCCAUUUGUUUAUUCUUGAUUUCUUAAAGCUUCCAUUAUUAAAAGCUCUGCAUUCCAUUACUCAUC
rnacentral:lncRNA from 1 species